rnacentral:rRNA from 1 species
UACGUAGGGGGCGAGCGUUGUCCGGAUUUAUUGGGCGUAAAGCGCGUGUAGGCGGUCCGGUAAGUCCGCUGUGAAAGUCGAGGGCUCAACCCCGGGCGUGCGGUGGAUACUGCCGGGCUAGAGGGUGGUAGAGGCGAGUGGAAUUCCCGGUGUAGCGGUGAAAUGCGCAGAUAUCGGGAGGAACACCAGUAGCGAAGGCGGCUCGCUGGGCCAUUCCUGACGCUGAGACGCGAAAGCUAGGGGAGCGAACAGG